rnacentral:rRNA from 1 species
AUUCCUACGGGAGGCAGCAGUAGGGAAUCUUCCGCAAUGGACGAAAGUCUGACGGAGCAACGCCGCGUGAGUGAUGAAGGUUUUCGGAUCGUAAAGCUCUGUUGCCAGAGAAGAAUGAUGUGGAGAGUAACUGCUCUGCAUAUGACGGUAUCUGAGAAGAAAG